ensembl:snRNA Gm24256 predicted gene, 24256
AAGUUUGAGCAGUGGUAGUAUUGUAGCCAAUGAAGUUUAUCUGAGGUACAGUUAUUGCUAAUUGAAAAAUAAAUCAAACUAUAC